AGCUUUGCUCAGUGGCAGUAUCGUAGCCAGUGAGGUUUAUCCAAGGAGUGAUUAUUGCUAAUUGAAAACUUUUCCCAAUACCCCACCAUGACGGCUUGAAAUAUAGUUGGCAUUGGCAAUUUUUUACAGUCUCUAUGGAGA
rnacentral:snRNA from 1 species